rnacentral:rRNA from 1 species
UACGUAGGGUGCGAGCGUUAAUCGGAAUUACUGGGCGUAAAGCGUGCGCAGGCGGUUCGUUAUGUCCGAUGUGAAAGCCCCGAGCUUAACUUGGGAAUGGCAUUGGAAACUGGCGGGCUGGAGUGCGGCAGAGGGGAGUGGAAUUCCACGUGUAGCAGUGAAAUGCGUAGAGAUGUGGAGGAACACCGAUGGCGAAGGCAGCCCCCUGGGCCGACACUGACGCUCAGGCACGAAAGCGUGGGGAGCAAACAGG